GCCCAGGUCUGACUCCAAAGCAGAUGGCUGAGCAAAGAGUUUGAAUUUUAACUUAGAAAGCUAAGAGUCAUUCAACGAUGUGAAAUUAAGAUGUCACUAUCAAAAAAAAAAAGAUGUCACUCUCAGAAGUGUUUGUGAUGUGCUCUCUCUGGACAAUAAAGAAGUAUUAAAGGAUACAACAGGACCAAUGAAGAGACCAUGUUCAUCCAGGAGAGGAGAAAGAGUUCAAACCAAAGGGAGUAGCAGUGAGAGAAGAGGAAAAGAUUUGUGGUCAUUUGGGAGAUAAAAUAGGAAGUAUUUGGUGACUAAGUGUGGAGGAGAAGGAAAAAUAGAAGGCAAAAAAGAUUGCUGAGGUUCUGAUUUGAGGGACCAGGUACACGACAGUGCCAUCUCUUAGACAAAAAAUAUGUGGGAAGAGAUGUAGGGGAAGAAGAUUUUUUUUUCCUGUUAAGUAGCAUAUCAAAAUGGAGCUCUCCAAUUGAAAGAAGUCUUUUUGACAGCAGCCUCCUCAAAUCAAGCUGACAUCAGAAAGUGCUAGAAGAGGAGGAGGAGGAAGAGGAAGAGGAAGAAAGGGUGAGGAGGAGUUUUAUUCAACUUGACAGCAGGAAAAAGUUUGAAGAAAUCUUUUCAGCCAGAUAUGCCUCUUGGACAAGGUGAGUGAAGAAAUGGAUUUUAUCCCCACAGAAUCAUCCCCAAAUCAGAUAGAAGGGAUGAGGAAACUGAGGCACAGAGUUGAUGUGCCUGCUGCAGUCACUCGGCCGUAAGUAACCGAGACAACAAACUCAAAUAUGCAUAGGCGGGAACCCAGUUCAACCUCUUCCUUGGUAAAUGGCUGCUCAACACUAGCUACAUUUUCUGAGACUUUUGUGUGCUAGAUGCUGGAUCAAACG
rnacentral:lncRNA from 1 species